rnacentral:rRNA from 1 species
UACAGAGGUCUCAAGCGUUGUUCGGAUUCAUUGGGCGUAAAGGGCGCGUAGGCGGGCUGCCAAGUCAGGGGUGAAAGCCCACGGCUCAACCGUGGAAGUGCCUUUGAUACUGGUAGUCUGGAGGGAGGUAGGGGCGUGCGGAACUUCCGGUGGAGCGGUGAAAUGCGUAGAUAUCGGAAGGAACACUGGUGGCGAAAGCGGCGCGCUGGACCUCUUCUGACGCUGAGGCGCGAAAGCUAGGGGAGCAAACGGG